rfam:Candidatus Roizmanbacteria bacterium RIFCSPHIGHO2_12_FTLL_41_11 rifcsphigho2_12_scaffold_4002, whole genome shotgun sequence.
GGCCGCUUAGCUCAGCUGGCUAGAGCGUUGCAUUCACAUUGCAAAGGCCGGGGGUUCAAGUCCCUCAGCGGCCA